ACGCUGGCGGCGUGCCUAACACAUGCAAGUCGAGCGAGGGUUUGCUCAGUAUUGAGUAUUCUAAGAUUAGAAUGUUCAAUUCUGAGCAAAACCAAGCGGCGGACGGGUGAGUAACGCGUGGGUAACCUGCCCUAUACACAUGGAUAACAUACUGAAAAGUUUACUAAUACAUGAUAAUAUAUAUUUGCGGCAUCGCAGAUAUAUCAAAGUGUUAGCGGUAUAGGAUGGACCCGCGUCUGAUUAGCUAGUUGGUGAGAUAACUGCCCACCAAGGCGACGAUCAGUAGCCGACCUGAGAGGGUGAUCGGCCACAUUGGAACUGAGACACGGUCCAAACUCCUACGGGAGGCAGCAGUGGGGAAUAUUGCACAAUGGGCGAAAGCCUGAUGCAGCAACGCCGCGUGAACGAUGAAGGUCUUCGGAUCGUAAAGUUCUGUUGCAGGGGAAGAUAAUGACGGUACCCUGUGAGGAAGCCCCGGCUAACUACGUGCCAGCAGCCGCGGUAAUACGUAGGGGGCUAGCGUUAUCCGGAUUUACUGGGCGUAAAGGGUGCGUAGGUGGUCCUUCAAGUCGGUGGUUAAAGGCUACGGCUCAACCGUAGUAAGCCGCCGAAACUGGAGGACUUGAGUGCAGGAGAGGAAAGUGGAAUUCCCAGUGUAGCGGUGAAAUGCGUAGAUAUUGGGAGGAACACCAGUAGCGAAGGCGGCUUUCUGGACUGCAACUGACACUGAGGCACGAAAGCGUGGGUAGCAAACAGGAUUAGAUACCCUGGUAGUCCACGCUGUAAACGAUGAGUACUAGGUGUCGGGGGUUACCCCCCUCGGUGCCGCAGCUAACGCAUUAAGUACUCCGCCUGGGGAGUACGCACGCAAGUGUGAAACUCAAAGGGAUUGACGGGGACCCGCACAAGU
rnacentral:rRNA from 1 species